CGGUGGAGUAUGUGGUUUAAUUCGACGCAACGCGAAGAACCUUACCAGGUCUUGACAUCCCUGACAACCCGAGAGAUCGGGCGUUCCCCUUCGGGGGACAGGGUGACAGGUGGUGCAUGGUUGUCGUCAGCUCGUGUCGUGAGAUGUUGGGUUAAGUCCCGCAACGAGCGCAACCCUCGACCUUAGUUGCCAGCAUUCAGUUGGGCACUCUAAGGUGACUGCCGGCUAAAAGUCGGAGGAAGUGGGGAUGACGUCAAAUCAUCAUGCCCCUUAUGACCUGGGCUACACACGUGCUACAAUGGGCGGUACAAAGGGUCGCGAACCCGCGAGGGGGAGCCAAUCCCAAAAAGCCGCUCUCAGUUCGGAUUGCAGGCUGCAACUCGCCUGCAUGAAGCCGGAAUCGCUAGUAAUCGCGGAUCAGCAUGCCGCGGUGAAUACGUUCCCGGGCCUU
rnacentral:rRNA from 1 species